CUGUUCCUGCUCCGGCUCCUGCGGGGAUGGAUGCUUCACGCAGUAAGCGAGCCAGCCUCGGACCCAGCAGCAUCCUGCCCAGGGGGCACCCCCACCUCCCUGGAUGCCAGCCAGAGCUGGAGAAUAUUCACGACCCAGAGGAGGGCCUGGACUCCAGAGAAGGGACCCCCUUUCACAGUGCACUCUGUGUCUGUGUGGAUCUGAUUUCAUGUCUAGUGACCACUAUUUUUAUCCUCCCAAUUCCUAGGACACCUUACCUGGAUCCGCCUUUGUAGCCUCCUCCUGGCUCUGGGGGCUGUCCUGUGGGGUCCGAGUAGCUGAAAGACAGCCCCUCCAUGUGAGGAAGCCCCCAACUGGGGAAAACCCCCUCGUGGACUCAUUCCUGUCCCUGCAUGUGGCCUUCACCUGACUGUCUGCAUUGAGGCAUCCUCUGCCAAGAGCAAUUUCAAAGUGGCAGGUCUUGGGAGAUGGGGUGCUGUAUUUGGGAGUAGGGGCGGGGAAGGGUUGAGGUGCCCUGGGAAAACUGGAGGAAGACAUUUUUAAUGCUCUUAUGAGGCUGGGAGCAGAGGCCAAGAGGGGCAGAGCAGAGCAGGGGUGAGGAGAAUGAGGCACUGGCCUGGGCACAGAAUUGAAGGGGCACCAAAAAUCGCAAUCAUCAAGGGAAAUCGUAUUUUAAUGCCAUAUUUUAAAACUCAAAA
rnacentral:lncRNA from 1 species